UUAUAAAUAAUAAAAAAGGAUUACAAAUAGUAAUCUUCAUAUACUUAGGACGGGAGUUCCCAAAGUGCCCUCAUACUUAACCUCAAUGAUCGAGAGGAGAAUGCGGUCAGGACACAACUCAUAUUCCGAUAAUCGACUCGACGACGACUUCGUCCCCGGAUUUGCUGUAGGCCUUUACUGGACUAACAUCCGGUCCAUAUCGCUUCGAUCCGGAUCCAAUUAGGAAAAUAGAAUCCAAUUCAAGAGUUCGGAUUCCGCAUGUCAUCGAAGCCCGAAGAAAAUCUACAUCCGAGUAGGAACAUGAGCCCGUGGCAGCUUUAAGAUUCGCGCUGCCCAUGGUCGACCGAGAGAAGCUUGUGUAAAUGCCCAAAAGAAAAGGCUCUCUUCUGCCAGGAUCUGUGUGCAACCCAGAUGGAGAAUUUGCAGAAUAUAAGUUCGCAUCCUUGAGAUGCCAAGACUGUAGAAAGCUUCGUCAAUCUGAGUACAAACAUGCACUUCAUUUCGAUGAAUUUGCUGCUUCAGUGAAUGAUGAUGCGGCUGAAAGCACAAAUUGUUUGUCUAUGGUUCUGGGAAACAACUAAAUGGAUUCACAGGCUGAAACCGAUGCAGGGAGCAAGGAAUUUGCUGCGGAGUCAAAGAACACUCCUGCAUAUAAAGUUUGAUGAGGAACAGCAAUGGCACUGCUCCGUUGGAAAGAGCUUCAACCAUGCAAUGAAGUGGCUUUAGCAGCACUAACC
rnacentral:lncRNA from 1 species